AAUAGAUGACACCGUUGACUUUUUCUCAUAUGUUUGACCAUUUGUCUUAUUCAAAAACAUUACGUAAUUAUAAUUUAUUUUGUUAUGAGUUGUUUUAUCACUCAUAGUAUUUUAAGUGUGAUUUAUAUCUUACACAUUUGCAUAAAAUUUUUAAAUAAGACGAAUGGUCAAACAUAUGAAAAAAAGUCAACGACGUCAUCUAUU
rfam:Oryza nivara chromosome 2, whole genome shotgun sequence.